CCCCCCGGUCACCCUAAACUAUUGAACACUUUUCCUCCUGGUUACCCCACUUUCUUUCCUCUAGCACUCCCUCUCUCAUACUUGGGGACUUCAAUAUCCCUAUCAACAAGCUCAACUGCCCUGAUGCCUCUCGUCUGCUCUCUGUAACCUCCUCCUUUGGACUUACACAGAUUUCUUCCUCAGCAACUCACACUGCAGGAAACACUCUUGACCUCAUCUUCACCAAUCUCUGUACCACCUCUGAUCUCACCACGGUUCCAUUUCCUUUGUCUGACCACUAUCUGCUAACAUUUAACAUCUGCAUACUCCAUACCAAAAUUUCACCACCGUCAACUCUCCAACCUCGCAGAAACCUCAUCUCCCUCGAUCUCCAGCACUUCUCCACCAAACACUCCUUUUACUCAUCUCAAAUCUCAACUGCCCUAACUCUGCAACCUCACUCUACAACUCCUCUCUCUCCUCUCAACUUGACAUCAUGGCACCUCCUACAGCUAAACGCAGCAAGCGCCCCCAACUACAACCCUGGCACACCAAGCUGACCCGUUACCUACAAAAAUGUUCCAGAACUGCUGAACGCUGCUGGAGAAAGUCUCACUUUGCAUCUGACUUUGUCCACUAUAAAUUUAUGCUGCGCUCCUACAGCAUGGCUCUUUCCUCUGCAAAAGUAAACUUCAACACCCUCAUAAGCACACUGUCCCACCAACCCAAACACCUGUUUCACACUUUUGAUGCUUUUCUUCGCCCUGUGACUCCCCCUCCUUCCACCACCUUGUCCGCC